GUGAGGAAUUUUGGACAAUGGGUGAAACCCUGAUCCAGCGACGCCGCGUGAAGGAUGAAGGUCUUCGGAUUGUAAACUUCUUUUGCCUGGGAAUAACGAACUCGUAGAAAUACGGGGAAUGAAUGUACCAGGCGAAUAAGCCACGGCUAACUUCGUGCCAGCAGCCGCGGUAAUACGAAGGUGGCAAGCGUUACUCGGAAUUACUAGGCGUAAAGGGCAGGUAGGCGGUCUCGUUAGUCUGUUGUGAAAGCUCCUUGCUUAACGGGGAGAGGCCAACAGAUACUGCGAGGCUUGAGUAUAGGAGAGGGUACUGGAAUUCCCGGUGUAGCGGUGAAAUGCGCAGAGAUCGGGAGGAACACCAAUGGCGAAAGCAGGUACCUGGACUAUUACUGACGCUCAGCUGCGAAAGCUAGGGGAGCAAA
rnacentral:rRNA from 1 species